rnacentral:tRNA from 2 species
GCGGACAUAGCUCAGAUGGUAGAGCGCGAUCCUUCCAAGUUCGAUGCCGCGAGUUCGAAUCUCGCUGUCCGCUCCA